rnacentral:misc_RNA from 1 species
UCACCGCUUACGCGGGCAGUCUCGCAUGAGUCCCCAACUAAAUGCUGGCAACAUGCGACGGGGGUUGCGCUCGUUGCGGGACUUAACCCAACAUCUCACGACACGAGCUGACGACAGCCAUGCAGCACCUGUGUUGCGGUUCCCUUUCGGGCACCGAGACAUCUCUGUCCCGUUCCGCACAUGUCAAGGGUAGGUAAGGUUUUUCGCGUUGCAUCGAAUUAAUCCACAUAAUCCACCGCUUGUGCGGGUCCCCGUCAAUUCCUUUGAGUUUUAGCCUUGCGGCCGUACUCCCCAGGCGGUCAACUUCACGCGUUAGCUUCGUUACCAAGGAAUUACUUCCCCGACAACCAGUUGACAUCGUUUAGGGCGUGGACUAC